UGAGCUUGACUCUAGUCCG
rnacentral:siRNA from 1 species